rnacentral:lncRNA from 1 species
GUUCUGCAGCAAACUUUUCUGGUUCAACGUGGAUAUCCUUUGGCAUUCGAUAUGUACGAGGAAUGUGAGGUAGUGGCACACGUCCAUUUGCUUUGGCACUUUCUUGCAUCUCUCUGCGAUGCUGUUUCCGGAGUCUGUACGGUGGGAUCCCAUCUAUGCUGCUGUCUGUGAGCGACAUCGUAUCCGCAUCACUGGACAUGCUCUGCUGCUCGCUGUCGUUGGCACUGGUGGCUGGUGCCAUGGCAUAUCCCGUGUUGACAUAGUAAGGGUUAACAGGUUCUCUCCAUGACCCAUGCCUGAACUCCCUGCCCUCGCUGUACCGCCGGGUCGAGGUGGCACGCUGGGUUGCAGUCUCCAAAAGCAGCUUCUGGGUGAGCCUGCUUGAGGGCGCGGAGUCCCUGCUGGCCUCAGGCUCGGUGUCUU